CUCCUUCAAACACACUGUCCUUAACUAAGUGGUUCACGUGAGUUUUGGCCUGUAGUAGAUGCUGUAGUAUGUUACCCAGAUUUUCUCUUCAGCAUUGAAGCACUUAUUCCCCAGUUGCCAGAACCAUUAGCAGCUGAUUGUUCCAAUUUGCAUCCUGAUAUGGUUUGGUUCUAUGUCCCCAUCCAAAUCUCUUGCUGAAUUAUUAUCUUCAGGGUUGGAGAAGAGGCUUAGUGGGAGGUGAUUGUACCAUUGGGAUGGAUUUCCCCCUAGCUGCCUUGUGGUAGGGAGUGAGUUCUCAUGAGAUCUGAUGGUUUAAAAGUGUGUAGCACUUCCCCCUUUGCUCUGUCUCUCCUGCUGCCAUGUAAAGACAUGCUUGCUUCCUUUUCACCCUUCUGCUAUGAUUCUAAGUUUCCCGAGGCUUCCCAGCUAUGCUUCCUGUACAGCCUGCAGAACUAAUGAAAAGUUUGUAUUCUGUUCUUGGGAAAGCUCUCACCCCAUUGACUGGUGAAUGUGGGAUUCAACCAUCUGGCACUUUUUUUCCCCAAGUUUGGACAUUUCUGAAGUGACUACAGAGCUUUUGUGGGAUUGGCCGAGCCUCUGUUGCAAACGGAUCACUCUUAAAUUUCACCUUCUGCCUAAUCUUGCCUCUAUCACUUGCAUCAUGGAAAAGUCCCCAGAGAGUACUCUUCAAUAAACCUUUUAUAUGAAAA
rnacentral:lncRNA from 1 species